UACGGAGGAUGCGAGCGUUAUCCGGAUUUAUUGGGUUUAAAGGGUGCGCAGGCGGGGGAUUAAGUCGGCGGUGAAAUUUUGCAGCUCAACUGUAAAAGUGCCUUCGAAACUGGUUUCCUUGAGUGUAGAUGAAGUAGGCGGAAUUUGUGGUGUAGCGGUGAAAUGCAUAGAUAUCACGAGGAACUCCGAUUGCGAAGGCAGCUUACUAAGCUACUACUGACGCUCAGGCACGAAGGCGUGGGGAUCAAACAGGAUUAGAUACCCCCGUAGU
rnacentral:rRNA from 1 species